rnacentral:rRNA from 1 species
GUGUGGCGUGGAGCUGGGUAGAACAGUUGGGCAGUAGGUAAGGUAAGGGCUAGGGGUAAGGUUCUUGCUUUCCUUAGUCAAGCAAAGUGAGCUAGCGGUUCCUUCCUUGGUGAGCUGGAGGUAGCCGUGGUACUCCCGCAAGGACUACCCGACGAAGGUGGGCGCGCCGCCGCGGUGCCUGGGCCGCCGCCACCGCCUGCCGCUGCUCCGCUGGUGCCGGUGCCGGUUCCGGUGCCGCGGCAGCUCCGGCGGGUGGUCCUUCCCGUUCUUCUUCAGCUACGCCGCCCGCGGCUCGCGCUGCCGCGCCGACGCCUGCGAGAGGAAGCUGCUGGACAGGGCGUGCGACCGGAGCAGCCCCUACGUGCGCAAGUGGCAGCGGCUCGACGCCCGGCGGUGCGCGUUGAAGAGGCCGUCGGUGAAGUAGCCCCUCCCGCCCAAGCCCGGCCAGAUGUUCCCGAAGGAGCUGCUGUUCCACCACGGCCCCUACGUCGGCGUCGUGCACCGGCAGUUCAUGGACCUGCGGCUCCCGGGCGUCCCGGUGGCGCUCACCGAGCGGCUCCACCAGAUGGAGCCGUACGUCGAGUCGGUGGGCGUGGACCACUUCGAGCAGCCGAUGACGAUGGUCCUCGUGGUGGCGUACGAGCAGAUGCUCAUGUACCGGGCCCCGUCGGAGCUCGUGGUGGAGAAGUUCUUAGACGACCGCUCGAACGGCACCCGCUGCUCCGACUUCUAGCGCCACCCCCGCCGGUUCCCCGACCGCAAGGACGUGCUCCGCCUCUGCGGCCAGUAGAUGUCCCUGAAGUUCCGGAGGUUGUAGGACGAGCUUAGCCUGAUGUGCCGCUUCGACAGCCUGAAGCCCGACCGCUUCCUCCCGGGCAGCCCCCUGCUGUGCGUGCACAGCUGCGCGCAGUACCCGUGCGUGCCGAUACGCCGCGGCCUCAUGUAGGAGUGCCCGGUGGAGUGCCGCUCCUCGCUGCACAUGUCGAAGCCCCACCACGACGAACUCGACGAGUGCCCGGCGGCCUCGCAGCUGUUCGCGGCGGCCCCGGCGCUCGUCUUGGAGCAGCUGACCCGCGCGGGGAUGGACGCCGCCGGCCUGUUCGACGUGGCGCAGUACCUGGGGUCGGAGCUCCCGUCGAUGAGGCGGCUCCGGCGGCGGUUCCGGCGGUGGCAGCGCAUGUUGACGGACGUGUCGCACGGGUUCUUGGCCGGGUGGUACGCGCUCCAGCAGCUGAGCGAGCUCGGCGAGUACGCGUACAGGGCGCUGCACGGGCGGCCCGACAAGCAGAUGUGGCGCGGCAGUCUCGGCAGCGGCCGUCGGUUCCAGCAGCGGCUGUUCCGGCGUCUCCUGCCGCUCCUUCGGUUCCUGUCGCCGUAAUCGGGCCGCCGUCGCCGGUCCUUCUUUACGGUCGCGAGCCGGCACGUGUGCCUCUCGCGCCGCGGGUUCAUGCGCUCGAGGCACCGCCCCUUUCUCUCGGCGCCGAGCGGCUGCGUCUCCUCCCUGUCUCCCCGCACUCGUUGUUACCGGGCGUACGCGCUCUAAAAACAAACAAGUUUCACAUGUAUUAACUUUCUUGGUGCUACACAUUAGACAACCAACUAACUAAAAAAAAGAAAAGAACCACUAACAUAAACAUAGGGUUCUCGUUUUCCACAAUCAUGUCUUAAGAAAAAGGUCCGGGUUUGCUACCCACAAGAAAGAACUAACUCUGCAAGGAAAACUUUUUACUUAGUAGACGUCGCCUAACAAACCAUGUCCCUGAUAUUGUCCUAACAAGUUUCACAUGUAUUAACUUUCUUGGUCCUACACAUUAGACCACCAACGAA